GUUCUUAAAUAUGAAUAAUUUAAAAAGUUAUCAAAGGAAAUCUUGAUAGAAAAAUAAAGACGUCGCGCGACGAAACAUCAUAGAAAGGCACUUGCUUAUGAACUAUGAGUUUCUUUAAGAAAACUCGCAUUUAAUAUGCUUUUAUACAUUUAUGUGAAUUGAAUCAUCUUAGUAACAUAUUAAAAAAUCAAACGAGAAUUUGUAAGUAACGGUGAGUGAAAGCGAAUCUAGCUAUGUGCUGAAACCCAAAGAAGGUAAUUAAGUCCUUUGUAGCAUUAAUAAUAAUACAAAGUAGUAUGAUUAAUUUUGUACGAAAAUAGGAGUACCAUCUUCUAAGCUAGAAAUUUUUCUAAUCGAUAGUGAACGAGUACUGUGAAGGAAAGAUUUGAAUUUGCUAAUUUAUAUUUAUUUGAAGCUAAUAUAUAUAGCAACAAAGUGCCUUUUGCAUAAUGAGUCAGUAAGUUAGUAUAUGUAGCAAGCUUAAAAGUAUUAAGGCAUUAAAAGUUACAUGUAUUAGACCCGAAGUCAAGUGAUCUAUUUUUAAGCAAGCUGAAGAUGUUUUAAAACGCAUUGAAGGGCUGAACCCACGUCUGUUGAAAAAUACGGGGAUGACUUAAGAAUAGGGGUGAAAGUCCAAUCAAACUUGGUGAUAGCUGGUUUUCCGCGAAAACUAUCAAAGUAGUACGUUGCUUUUAAAAAAUGUGGGUAGAGCUACUUAUUAAACUUAGAUUUUGCUAUGUUUUAUUAAACUCCAAACUAUAUUUUUUCUAAGCAGCAGACAGUCAUUAGGCGAUAAGGUCUAAUGUCAAAAGGGAAACAACCCUAAUCGGUAGCUAAGAUCUCAAAAUUAUGAAUUAGUGAAAAAAUGAAAAAUAAUUCGAAUAAACAGAGUAGGCUUAGAAGCAGCCAUCUAUUGGAGAAAGCGUUUUAGCUCAUUAUUUUUACUUAUUUUGUUCAUUUAUAAUGUAAAGAGGCUUAAAUUUAUAUAUCGAAGCACCGAAUUAAGUUAUAUUUAGCUUAGUGGUAGCGGAACGUCCUGUAGUCUUUUAUGUUAAUGUUAAAUUGCAUAUUAAAAAUCAGGAGUGCUAAUGCUGACAUGAGUAGCGUCAAUCAUGUUGAAAACAAAUCAUGAUCGUCUAUUGUUCAAGGGUUUUCAGUAAAUUUUAAGUAACUGAAUUUAGUCGGCCCUUAAAAAAAAAGCGAAAGCUGUAUUUGAUAGGAAAGUUGGUCCACAUGUCUGCAAAACAUUCUUUUGUUUUGUGUAAAAAAUCAAUAUUUUUAAAUUCUGCUCAGUAAACUAGCAACUUUAAGAAAUUGUUUUUCAGGAAAACUUACAUGAAGUUUGACCGUACCUAAAACCGACACAGGUGAACUUAUUGAAAAGAUAAAGACGAGUGAGCGAAUUAUACUUAAGGAACUCGGCAAAUUUGCUCUGUACGUUCGCAAAAAAGAGCACCUUAAAGGUUUCAAGAAUUAGGGGUAGCGACUGUUUAACAAAAACUUAAAACUUUGCAAAUUCUAAAGAAGACGUAUAAGGUUUGAUGCCUGCCCAGUGCUUGAAAGCGAAAAAUAGAUGUUAAUGCAUAUAUUAUAAACUCAAGUAAACGGCGGUCUUAACUAUAAGGAUCCUCAGGUAGCGAAAUUCCUUGGCGGGUAAAUUCCGUCCUGCAUGAAUGGCAUCACGACUACCCCACUGUCUCUAGUAUAACCUCAGCGAAAUUACAUUGUCUGUGAAAAUGCAGACAUCCUACAACAAGACGGAAAGACCCUAUGAUUCUUAACUAUAAUUUUACAUCGUAAUAAUUUUGUACAUAGUACAGUAAAAGUAGGAGUAUAUUUAUACAACUUUGAAAAACUACUUUAUGUAUAGAAAAUUACUUACUAAAGAGGAAAUGUGUAAAAGUGGUAGUUUACUUGGGACGAGGACCUCCUAAACUGUAACGGAGGUGCACAAAAGUAAAUUUUAAUUAGUUAUUUACACUAAUGUAACACGUAAUGGUAAAAGUUUGCUUGACGGUAAGAACUACAAUUCAAACUGAGACGAAAGUCAGUCAUAAUGAUCCGGCAGUAACGUAUGGAAGUACUGUCGCUUAUCGGAAAAAAGAAACUCUAGGGAUAACAGAUUUAUCAUGGUUGAGAGUUCUUAUCGAUGCCAUGGUUUGAUACCUCGAUGUCGGCUCAUCUUUUCCUGGAGCUGUAACAGGUUCCAAGGGUAUGGUUGUUCGCCAAAUAAUAAGAUACGUGAGCUGGGUUCAGAACGUCGUGAGACAGUUCGGUCCCUAUCUGUUGUGGGUAAGAAAAAAAAAAGAUUUAUCUUUAGUACGAGAGGAUUAAGAUAUAUUAACCAAUAGUGUAUCGGUUGUAUUGUUUUUUGCAUCGCCGAGUAGCCACGUUAACAUUAUAUAAGUGCUGACAGCUUAAAAGCGCAAAAAAAAUCUUCCUUUUUUUCUGGAACAUUCUAGAAGAUUACUAGAUAGAUCGGCUUACUAUUUAAUACUUGUAAGAGUAAGUAAGUAAAUACGAAAAGUUCAUUAUAAUUUAUACUAUAUUUAAGAACGGGUUUUAUCCCGUUCUUAAA
rnacentral:rRNA from 1 species